ensembl:rRNA 5S_rRNA 5S ribosomal RNA
GCUUACGGCCAUACCAGCCCAAGAACGCCUCGGUCUCGUCUGAUCUCGGAAGCUAAGAAGGCUUGGGCCUGGUUAGUACUUGGAUGGGAGACCUCCUGGGAAUACCAGGUGCUGUAAGCU